UAAUGCAGUCGAGCGACAGAUAAGGAGCUUGCUCCUUUGAAGUUAGCGGCGGACGGGUGAGUAACACGUGGGUAACCUACCUAUAAGACUGGGAUAACUUCGGGAAACCGGAGCUAAUACCGGAUAACAUUUAGAACCGCAUGGUUCUAAAGUGAAAGAUGGUUUUGCUAUCACUUAUAGAUGGACCCGCGCCGUAUUAGCUAGUUGGUAAGGUAACGGCUUACCAAGGCGACGAUACGUAGCCGACCUGAGAGGGUGAUCGGCCACACUGGAACUGAGACACGGUCCAGACUCCUACGGGAGGCAGCAGUAGGGAAUCUUCCGCAAUGGGCGAAAGCCUGACGGAGCAACGCCGCGUGAGUGAUGAAGGGUUUCGGCUCGUAAAACUCUGUUAUUAGGGAAGAACAAAUGUGUAAGUAACUGUGCACAUCUUGACGGUACCUAAUCAGAAAGCCACGGCUAACUACGUGCCAGCAGCCGCGGUAAUACGUAGGUGGCAAGCGUUAUCCGGAAUUAUUGGGCGUAAAGCGCGCGUAGGCGGUUUCUUAAGUCUGAUGUGAAAGCCCACGGCUCAACCGUGGAGGGUCAUUGGAAACUGGGAAACUUGAGUGCAGAAGAGGAAAGUGGAAUUCCAUGUGUAGCGGUGAAAUGCGCAGAGAUAUGGAGGAACACCAGUGGCGAAGGCGACUUUCUGGUCUGUAACUGACGCUGAUGUG
rnacentral:rRNA from 1 species